UGGAAGUAAAAGUCGUAACAAGGUUUCCGUAGGUGAACCUGCGGAAGGAUCAUUAAUAAAUGGUCUACGUUUUUAAGUAGACGCUUAAUAAUCCUACCCUUUGUGAAUUGUUUGUUUGAAAUAAUUUUUUUAGAAUUAUUGAAUGUCUUUCCCUGUUGAAUUGGUUGUCUUUAAUGGCAAGUGAUUCGCAGGGGAGUGUCAAUAAUUUUUAAAAAGACCUUUUUUAAAAUUAAACUUUUUGUAUUCAUUUGUCUAAAAAUUAUUUUAUAAUAUAAAAACAACUUUUGACAAUGGAUCUCUUGGUUCUCGCAACGAUGAAGAACGCAGCAAAAUGCGAUAAGUAGUGUGAAUUGCAGAAUACGUGAAUCAUCGAAUCUUCGAACGCAUAUUGCACUUUUUAGUUUACUAAAAAGUAUGUCUGUUUGAGUAUCAGUAAAAUAUUCUCAUAAAAACUUUUUGUUUUUAUGGUUAUGAGUGUUUUACAACGAUACAAGUUGUUUCACUUUAAAUUUUUUUAAAAUUUGAAUUUUUCUAAUUUUAAAAUAAAAUUGGAUAAAUUUUCCCGUAAAAGGAAUAACCUAAACAAUUUUAAUUUUUGAUUAGAAUUCUUCAUUCUAAAGGAAAAUUUAACUAAAUAACUUGAUCUCAAAUCAGAUAAGAGUACCCGCUGAACUUAAGCAUAUCAAUAAGCGGAGGAAAAGAAACUAACAAGGAUUCCCUUAGUAACGGCGAGUGAAGCGGGAAGAGCUCAAAUUUGAAAUCUUCAAGGUUUACCUUGACGAAUUGUAGUUUAAAGAAGUGUUUUCUGUUGAAGUUUUGGUAAAAGUUCUUUGGAAUAGGACAUCAUAGAGGGUGAGAAUCCCGUAUUUGACCAUUAUUUUCAGCUGUGUGAUACACUUUCAAAGAGUCGGAUUGUUUGGGAAUGCAGUCCAAAAUGGGUGGUAAAUUUCAUCUAAAGCUAAAUAUUGGCGAGAGACCGAUAGCGAACAAGUACCGUGAGGGAAAGAUGAAAAGAACUUUGAAAAGAGAGUUAAACAGUACGUGAAAUUGUCAAAAGGGAAGCGUUUGACACCAGUGUUGUUUUCUCGAAAAUCAAUUAAAAAGAGUUGGAUUUUGUGUUGUAUUGACCUUAACAGCUUGCUUCACUCUUUUCCAGCUUUUUUUAAUGCACUUUUCGUUUAACAAGUCAACAUCAGUUUCUUUUGUUGUAAAAGGGUCAUUGGAAGGUGGCUUUCUCUUCGGAGAAAGUGUUUAUAGCCUUUGAUCUCUGCAAUCGGAGAGAUGAGGUCUGCAGCGUAGAUCCUUCGGGUUAGAUACAUUUGUGCUAAGCUACAGCUUUUCAUAGACAACUUGUUGACUAUGUUUAGUCUUGUGACUUACCCGCUUAUGCUAUUUUACCU
rnacentral:misc_RNA from 1 species